rnacentral:rRNA from 1 species
AAUGUGAAUUGCAGAAUUCAGUGAAUCAUCGAAUCUUUGAACGCACCUUGCGCUCCUUGGUAUUCCGAGGAGCAUGCCUGUUUGAGUGUCAUGGUAUUCUCAACUCUUGCUUGUUUUACAAGCAUGGGCUGGAUGUGGAGGUUUUUGCCGGUGUUUGCCAUCGGCUCCUCUGAAAUACAUUAGUGUGGACCCUUCCAAGUGUUCCUUCAGUGUGAUAAUUGUCUACGCUGUGGGCGCGAGGAUUUCUGAAGUCCGUGCUUCAAACCGUCCUUUACAAGGACAAUUUCUUUGACAUCUGACCUCAAAUCAGGUAGGACUACCCGCUGAACUUAA